rnacentral:snRNA from 1 species
AGAGGAGAAAAAGGGCAGUAUCAUAGCCAAUGAAGUUAAUCUGAGGUGUGAUUAUUGCUAGUUGAAAACUUUUAAAAGAUACAUUUCAGAGAACAAAGGGGACACUCUUUCUCAGUGAAACAGGCAAUUCAUAGUACACAGCACAUGUUCUUUCUGU